GAUGGACGCUAGCGGCAGGCUUAACACAUGCAAGUCGAGGGGUAUUGGUUUUCGGACCAAGAGACCGGCGCACGGGUGCGUAACGCGUAUGCAAUCUACCUUUCACAGAGGGAUAGCCCAGAGAAAUUUGGAUUAAUACCUCAUAGUAUUAAGAAUCGGAAUCGGUUUUUCAUUAAAGUCACAACGGUGAAAGAUGAGCAUGCGUCCCAUUAGCUAGUUGGUAAGGUAACGGCUUACCAAGGCUACGAUGGGUAGGGGUCCUGAGAGGGAGAUCCCCCACACGGGUACUGAGACACGGACCAGACUCCUACGGGAGGCAGCAGUGAGGAAUAUUGGACAAUGGGCGCAAGCCUGAUCCAGCCAUGCCGCAUGCAGGAUGACGGUCCUAUGGAUUGUAAACUGCUUUUGUACAGGAAGAAACACUCCUACGUGUAGGAGCUUGACGGUACUGUAAGAAUAAGGAUCGGCUAACUCCGUGCCAGCAGCCGCUGUAAGAC
rnacentral:rRNA from 1 species